CCGAAUUAUCUCAUGAUGGCAAUAAUACGGAGAUAAACGCAUCGUGUGACGUCUCCGUCUCUCUAAUCCUCGCCUACCCAGGGAACGGACGUUUUUUCCGAAGCUAUGGGGUAUUCCUAUUGCUUCCGAAUUGUGGUAAGCUAAUGGUUUUGACACCCAGAAGCUAGGAUUUUACAUUAAGCCGCCAAAUUGGUAACCCCGACGUGAUUUUAACACGCUACUUUUUCAUGAAAUCCACGCUAGGGAAUCACCUCCUUUGAGCAGGCCUUCAUCAACUCAUGGAACACGGCUAUAAUUUAGUUCUGGACAAACGUUCCAACCAAUGAUUAUGCUUUCUUAUUAAAUAAAUAAAAAGUCCAAAUUCGUUCAAAUUCUA